AGGCAUCUAUCUGACAGACCUGGAGCCGUUUACAGUCUCCUGCUAAGAUUUCCACUACAGGUGCAAGAAAACAGUGUCCUGGUGCUUUCUGUCUGUCUGAUUGUGGCAGCCAAGACUGAACAGAGGAAUACGGGG
rnacentral:snoRNA from 1 species